UACGUAGGGUGCAAGCGUUUAAUCGGAAUUACUGGGCGUAAAGCGUGCGCAGGCGGCUUUGCAAGACAGAUGUGAAAUCCCCGGGCUCAACCUGGGAACUGCAUUUGUGACUGCAAGGCUAGAGUACGGUAGAGGGGGAUGGAAUUCCGCGUGUAGCAGUGAAAUGCGUAGAUAUCGGGAGGAACACCAGUGGCGAAGGCGACUUCCUGGCCUGUUCUUGACGCUGAGGCGCGAAAGCUAGGGGAGCAAACGGG
rnacentral:rRNA from 1 species